rnacentral:rRNA from 1 species
UACGAAGGGGGCUAGCGUUGCCCGGAAUUACUGGGCGUAAAGAGCGCGCAGGCGGUCGUUCAAGUCGCGUGUGAAAGCCCCCGGCUCAACUGGGGAGGGUCACGCGAUACUGAUCGACUCGAAGGCAGGAGAGGGUAGUGGAAUUCCCGGUGUAGUGGUGAAAUGCGUAGAUAUCGGGAGGAACACCAGUGGCGAAGGCGACUACCUGGCCUGUUCUUGACGCUGAGGCGCGAAAGCUAGGGGAGCAAACGGG